UACAACAUGGGUAGCUUGAAACCUGAGCGUUGAUUUUUCGAGACAGCAGAGUGGCCAGCUGACAUGGGAGAGCCAGGUUCAACAGAAGAGUUUCAACAGCUUUUCACAGCAACUUGGUCCGCAGCAGUUUAUCAGGUUCCCUUCCACCGCGUUCAAAGCGUCACCCGCAGCGCAAACUCCUACUUUGCGCAAAUGGCACCGAAAUGAGUCACGGGGCGGCAGAGAGAGCAUAGCCGUGGGCGGUGGGACAAGAGCGAGGAGAGACCAGCGUGGAAAGAGCCCGAACAUAAAAUGUCUACUAAUCAGCGGCAGAUGAUGUGAGAAAGUGGCAGGACUCACCUUACCGCUGAUCUGUCAUGCUGCGGCUGCUGCUUACCAAGAAGCAAAAGGGGUAAGGCAAGGGCACUGUGGGGCACAAGCACUGUGGGGCUGCCGGAUUGGCGCCGCUGGUGCAUCUGCCCCAUGCUGAUCUCCUCUUCCCAGUCAGCAGCAGCAACAUGACCAGCUGAAGGUCAGAAAUGCUCCUGAUCAGGUGUGAAACUGCAGGUUUUGUCAUUCCUCUCCAAAAAGCAAAACAUAUGGGACAUAUUAAAGCUUACAAGGAACGCAGAAUAGAAUGUCAGAACUGAGUUCGCACAAUGCUACUUAAACAACACAUUCAUAUUUACUGUAUAUGCGGGGUUUAAUCCUGUAUGCACUUACCCGGGAAAAAGCCCCAUUGAACACAAUAAAUGUCUGUGGUUCUUUUUCAUUUACACCAUGGACUGAAAUAAACUGAUUUGUAGCAAU